UCUUCACCUUGUCUGUAGACGGCGCGAGUACCGCCUCUUCUACAGAGAACCUCACUGGUCAGCUAAGCUUGGUUGAUCUCAAAGCAGGCCUGGAAUGAGCCGAGCUCAGCUGAACGGAGGCAUGUGUGGUGGAUGAGCAGCUGAUGUUGCUCUUGUCGUCUGUCUGGAUUCUCUUCCACAUGAGAGUCCAAAACGAAGCUCAGGCCGUCAGUGUGAGCUGAAGGAGUUAUUCUCGGACUGUUGUGGUCUGUGGUUUCCUUGCUGCUUCUGGUUGUCCGUCCUCACCCAGCGAUGAGAAGAGCUCCAGAGAACGAGAACUAACAGCUGUUCAUUUACUCUUCAUUCACCACUGCAGCUUCAGCUCUAUGGACAGAACAUUAAAGAGGCGUACGGAGGAUUUCUGAGGAUUAAAGAGCUUCUAGAGCUCAAAACACAUCAGAUGAUCUCCUAAAGUCAGAGAGAUUCUCUCAGAUCAGGCAGAGGAGCUUCUGUUUAUGAAGGGUCUUUAUUCACUGUAGUGCUGUUAUACACCAUGAUGAUCCAAACACGGACCAGAACCAGGCGGUUCUGAUCGCUCAGUGUGAACAGAGUUGAGAUGAUUUGGAUCCAGUUUGAGUAAAAAUGUCACUGUGUAAAUCAGAUUUAUUAAUGUAGAGUUUGUAUAUUUUCAGUUGCUUUUCUGUAGUUUUCCUCUUGUUCUCAUUGUUUAGGUUAGUAGAUCCUCUUAAACUCUUUUCUAGCUGUGCUGUCGUUGUUCUGAAUGUGCUGCUAAAACACCGAUAAUAAAGUUUUGAAGCAGC